rnacentral:rRNA from 1 species
UACAGAGGUCCCAAGCGUUGUUCGGAUUCACUGGGCGUAAAGGGUGCGUAGGCGGUCGGGUAAGUCUGACGUUAAAUCUUCGAGCUCAACUUGGAAACUGCGUCGGAUACUAUUCGGCUAGAGGAAUGGAGGGGAGACUGGAAUACUUGGUGUAGCAGUGAAAUGCGUAGAUAUCAAGUGGAACACCAGUGGCGAAGGCGAGUCUCUGGACAUUUCCUGACGCUGAGGCACGAAAGCCAGGGGAGCAAACGGG